UACGUAGGGUGCAAGCGUUGUCCGGAAUUAUUGGGCGUAAAGAGCUCGUAGGCGGUCUGUCGCGUCGGCUGUGAAAACCUGGGGCUUAACUCCGGGCUUGCAGCCGAUACGGGCAGACUAGAGUUCGGCAGGGGGAGACUGGAAUUCCUGGUGUAGCGGUGAAAUGCGCAGAUAUCAGGAGGAACACCGGUGGCGAAGGCGGGUCUCUGGGCAUUGACCUGACGCUGAGGAGCGAAAGUGUGGGGAGCGAACAGG
rnacentral:rRNA from 1 species